rnacentral:tRNA from 1 species
CAGAGCGUUCCGCAGAGGCUAUACGGACUUGUUUUGGAAACAAGUGUUCGCAGGUUCAAAUCCUGCCGCUCUGACCA